GCCAUGGCACUCAUCAAACAGCCAGCCUGGCCGCUCCUGACCCUGCCAGGCACCCUCCCUCUCGCCGUGAGGACCCCUGGUGGCCCUGGUUCGAUGCAGCCAUGGUCAGGGAGGACACUCAUCAGAGGCGGUCACUGUGUCUGAGCUGUCGUUGACUGUGUGGGGCUCUGUUCUACUGACAAGCAACAGGCAAGGCCAAAGGAGCAGUCUGAGCAGCGCGUCACCCAGGAGGUCGUCCCAGGGUUGCCUGCUGUGAGGGACUGCGGCUCCCCCUGGGGAAGCACUUCUCUGCCUCCCGGAAGCCUAGGCACACCAUGGGAGCAGCUCAUGUCCUCCUUGCCCGCCUCUGAUACAGGACCACAGUCAAGCCCGGCUCACGGCCCAGGGACAUAGCACAGGGAUGGGAAGCAGCCACAUCGAGGCCCUGACGCUUCUCUGCGUCACAGCCGGGGUCUGAAACGUGGUGGCCCGUGGGAAAGGGUGUUGGCAAGGAGGAGACCACAGCAGGCCCAUGCAUGGCCACUGUGCCGGGGUGCUUCUACGCCCGUGUGGCAUUCUCUCUGGCACCUGUGAGGGAAACUGAGACCGCCGAGACCCCUACUCUCCUGAAACUACUUGAGGUUUUCUUGUGGGUGGAAUUCACACCGCACUUUGUGCUUAGUGCUGCCUUAGCCCUCCUAGUGCUCAUUGCCCCGUCCUUCAGCAGCUGUGUGAGUGCCGAUCAUCUGUGUGAAUCACGACAUGUAGAUAAUUCCCCGACUGCUGGACACUUCUUAGAUUGUCUCCAAUUUCACACUAAAUGA
rnacentral:lncRNA from 1 species